rnacentral:rRNA from 1 species
AGGAGUGCUCGAAAGAGAACCGUAACACAGGUGCUGCAUGGCUGUCGUCAGCUCGUGUCGUGAGAUGUUGGGUUAAGUCCCGCAACGAGCGCAACCCUUGUCAUUAGUUGCUACAUUUAGUUGGGCACUCUAAUGAGACUGCCGGUGACAAACCGGAGGAAGGUGGGGAUGACGUCAAGUCCUCAUGGCCCUUAUAGGUGGGGCUACACACGUCAUACAAUGGAUGGUACAAAGGGUCGCCAACCCGCGAGGGGGAGCCAAUCCCAUAAAGCCAUUCGUAGUCCGGAUCGUAGUCUGCAACUCGACUACGUGAAGUCGGAAUCGCUAGUAAUCGUGGAUCAGAAUGUCACGGUGAAUACGUUCCCGGGUCUUGUACACACCGCCCGUCACACCAUGGGAGCGGGUUCUGCCAUAAGUAGUUAGCCUAACCGCAAGGAGGGCGAUUACCACGGCAGGGUUCGUGACUGGGGUGAAGUCGUAACAAGGUAGCCGUA